rnacentral:rRNA from 1 species
UACGUAGUCUGCUGCAUGCAGGAAGACCCGCU